ACGGAAGGCAGCAGUGGGGAAUAUUGGGCAAUGGACGAAAGUCUGACCCAGCGACGCCGCGUGAGGGAAGAAGGUCUUCGGAUUGUAAACCUUAGUUAUCGGGGAAGAAGAAAGUGACGGUACCCGAAGGGAAAGCCACGGCUAACUACGUGCCAGCAGCCGCGGUAAUACGUAGGUGGCAAGCGUUAUCCGGAUUUACUGGGUGUAAAGGGUGUGUAGGCGGGAUUGCAAGUCAGAUGUGAAAAUUAUGGGCUCAACUCAUAACUUGCAUUUGAAACUGUGAUUCUUGAGUGUCGGAGAGGUAAAUGGAAUUCCCAGUGUAGCGGUGAAAUGCGUAGAUAUUGGGAGGAACACCAGUGGCGAAGGCGGUUUACUGGACGACAACUGACGCUGAGACACGAAAGCGUGGGGAGCAAACAGGAUUAGAUACCCUGGUA
rnacentral:rRNA from 1 species